rnacentral:rRNA from 1 species
CCCUUAGAUGUUCUGGGCCGCACGCGUGCUACACUGAGUGGAUCAGCGGGUCAGGUUGCGCGAAAGUGUUUCCUAAUCUUGAAAUCCGCUCGUGAUGGGGAUUGACGGUUGCAAUUUUCCGUCAUGAACGAGGAAUACCUUGUAAGCGCGGGUCAUCAUCCCGCGCUGAAUACGUCCCUGCCCUUUGUACACACCGCCCGUCGCUACUACCGAUUGAACGUUUUAGUGAGGUAUUUGGACUGGGCCUUGGGAGGUUUCGGCCUCCCUUGUUGCUCGGAAAGACUCCCAAACUUGAGCGUUUAGAGGAAGUAAAAGUCGUAACA